rnacentral:misc_RNA from 1 species
GAAAUAAGUCGCCAUCGUACGGCCUCCCGUUCAUGUGUGACUGCUCUACAUGGCGUCAGUUUGUGGGAAAAAUCUAUCCCCGACUGCUGCGGCGUUCGAGAUUUGAAGGAUACGCCGGGAGCGGGAGGAGCGGAGCGAAGCGAGAGGACUCUGUGGGAGCAGGAGAGCGUGUGUGAGUACGUGCGUCUGUAUGAGUUUACCUGUCCCCGCUUUUGGCGCGCAGGCCCGACGAGGCGGCUGGGCGGUGAGUGCUUCUCGUCUUCCUCAGUGUGCUUUGGCUGCGGGUACCGGUCGUGUCCCCUUUGCUAGCGCGCGAUCAUGGCUAGCAGAGGGAGAGAAUGUAUGUGAUUUUCCCUCUGGACGAUUUGUUAGAUCUGAAUAGUGCGAGAGGGUACAAACGUGGAACAGCUUCGUCGGCGGCAAGGUUCAGCCAAAAAGGACACACUGUAGUGCAAGUUUUGUCUCCUUCCCAACCUAACCAACAACUUCCCGAGCAACUUCAACCACCCCAGAAACAACAACAACAACAACAACUACAACAACAACAACAACACUCCUACCACCAGCUACCGGUACCGCCUUCUCAACAACCAACAUCACCUCAACAGUAUAAGCUAGAACAACAGCAACAACAACAACAACAACAGCAACAACAACAACAACAACAACAACAACAACAACAGCAACAGCAACAACAACAGCAACAGCAGCAGCAACAACAACAACAACAACAGCAACAACAACAGCAACAACUGACUUUACAGAGAACAAACAGUACUUUCCAAAAGACACCGUCCAAAGCGUCCAGUAACAGUCAGUCCUCCCCACACACCAAGUUACCUAGCAGUGUUCCUAAUAGCAGUAGCAAUAGCAGUCACACUAGCUCGCUCAAGCAACAGGCGCACAAGCAACAGCGGCCUCACUUUCACCCCGACGUCGUGGUGAACCAGCGACAGCCUUCCUCGUACUCCACCUCUACGGAGACGUCCUCCCUCUCCUCUACUGGUGCAAAAACCAAAACUCUGUUGCGACCGCCGCAUGCCGAAGCCAAACCCGUUAGUAACCGCUUUUCCUGGGGUGGAAGUCCUUCGGGUCCGGUGCGGGAGACCUCUGUGACGCGAAGCACGAGUUUUAGAAGCCGGGACGAAUUGGGUGUUGACAGAAAUAUAGCCGACCUGUAUAUCGGUGACGGACGGCAGUUCAAUAGUCUGCGAUAUAGAGACGUGCGAGACAGCGACUACCCUCCGGAGACUCGAGGCGGCAGGACUUACCCGAGUUCAAGUCACAGCUUUCGGUCUCAUAUUGUUAAAAGUGGAAGUUUCCGAUCGUUCCUGGACCACGGUGGGCCUCACGGGGGCUACCGGUCUCAUCAGGUGCCCGUUGCGGAAAGUGUAAGGUCUCAGCAUCCUGGUGAGAGUGUUAAAAGCCAGCAGCAUUUGGCUAUUGAAAAUACAAGGUGUCAGCAAAUAACUUCGAGUGAGAGAACACGACCCCACCAUCUGCCCCUCGCGGAGAGCACACAGCCGUUCCAGGAUUUUUCUCCACAGACCCAGGAACCCCGGCGCCCCUCCACUCACAGGCACUCGAGCAGUAGGAGUAGCCACAGCUCGGGGAGUCAAAAAGCCCCCGAGCCUUCCCCUCACAGUAGCUCGGGCAGCGCUACCACACCUGGGGCUCGGGGGAUUAGUCUGAAAAGUUCCGGAGGGUCGGGCAAGUCUCGUGGCCAAAACAAGGGCGUCAUGGCCAGCGAGGUCAGCUUGCGGGAUCUCACACACCCAAGUGCUAACGAAACGCUCAAGCUCCACAGCUCCGUCACCUUCAAACUCGUCAAAACAGUUUCAGAUUUCACUGCCCAGCUCUCCCGCAUCCACGAGCAGCAUGCGGAUGAGAUACAGCGGCUGGUGGAGACGUUCAGGAAGAAGAACUCGGAGCUUCGAAAUGAAAGGCCUUGCACCAGUCAGAUCUUCCACGCCUGGGAAUCGCUACUUCAGGAGGUUGAGAUCGACUCCCAAAUCCACGCCGACGUAGCAGGAACUCUGAACCGACACGUGUCACGACCCCUCAUCGAGAAAACCUUCUUCAGAAAAAUCCAAUCACGCAAGGUUUUCACACACCGGGAAAGCUUCGACACCAUCCUGGCCAAGACGGAGGACAUGUUGAAAAAGUGCCGCCGGGAUUACGCUGAAGCCUACCACAACCACUGCCGGAAUCAGAGCAAUGCCUCCCUCGCCUCCUACUUCGACGCCCACAAUGCUUACGUCCAACAGCUGCACGCGACCAACAGCAUGUUCCAGGAGUACCACAACACCACGCUCCCUGCUCUUCUUCAGGAGCUGGAGGCCGUGUACCUGGACGUAAGCAGUGUUGUGGCGGAAUGUAUACUGCAGGGAGCUGACAUUGUGGCGGCCAAGGCCUUAGAGCAGAGCCGCCGCUAUGACUCUCUGUGUACCAACUGUCGUGCCUGUGACGGACGCACUGAGCUGACCACGCUGAUUCGCCACCUGGACCCAGCCGUGACCAACCCCGUCCGUCCGCCUCACCAUCGCUUCGUCCCGCCUCAGAUCGCGCAGUCCCCGGAGGCCGCCAACGGGGAGCCUCUUCCUCAAGACUACUCUCCACCAAUGCCUCUUAAGAACGAGCUUGUCUUCGACCGUCUGGCGGCGCUGUCCUCCAGGAACCGCUACGACGCCCUCAAGAAGGAGUCCGCCGACCUGGAGAGACAGAUCGCCCAGCUGCAGGACGCCCAGGACACCCUACUUCGGAUGCAACAAAGGAGCCUGGACUCAUCGGCGUACAACAAGGCGAACGAACUUCAAGAGGACAUCAGCAUGAGGCGCUUCGACUUGCAAGUGGCUCAGGUGCAUCUCUCGGCAGUGAAGGCUCAGAAAGAGUUGUUUGCGUCUAAAGAGGGGGGAGGGGCAGAGGGACGAGAGAGAAAAAUGUCUAACUCGAGUGGUGGAAGCAUGAAAACCAAGUGGAUGAAAGCGCUCAAGUCCCUGAAGGCUUCGGACACCUCGAGUGGAAAUCUACCACCUACAUCACCAGCGAAGCGGUACACUUUCUCGAGUACCGUCCUCAGCGUCAUGGCUCACAGCGGACCGCCCGAAGCCUCUCCCUACGACCAGCGCCUCGCCAGGAAAAACGCGAGAGAGAAGGAGAAAGAAGCCGCAGCCAUGUUCGAGACAGCUCACAUCUUCCAGGAAUACACCUACAAGAAGAUCACCGCCUGCGACGUGUGUCACCAGAUCCUGAGAGGUCACUCGCGCCAGGGAAUCAAGUGCCGCAUGUGCAAGACCAACGUACACGUGGAGUGCCAGGACCAGGUGGGCAAGUGCCAGCCUAAAUCGCGGCUCCUCCGUCGUCAGCGCUCCACUUCUGAGAUCGAAUCCAAGCAGAUGGAAGGCGGCGAGGAGGACACGGACCCCAGUAUCUCCUUCAGCUCCCUUAUCGCCAGCCAGCCGGCAAGGCGAGGCGCUGAGCCGCCCUCCUCCACUGCCACUACCGAGAUCCAAAUAGACAAAACAGAGAAGACAGAGGAGGUGGACCUGAUAUACCAGGUACUCAAACAAGCGGGGGACCUGGGAGGGCGGCGCAGCGCUCACGGGUCCAUGGAGCGGGACUUGGGGCGGGACCUUGGGCGUGAUCUAGCGCGUGACGUGGGAGGUUCAGCGGCCUCCUCUGGAUCAGGGAGCGCCACGUCCCUCCACAGACGACUUCCGCGACCCACUAACACCGGCUCCACCCUCACCGUGAACCCCGCCCCCGUGGCCUCCUGCUCAGGGAGAGGAGAUGUAUUUGAAAACAUGGGCUUUUCCGACCUGGGCGUUCCAUACCUCAAUGGUAUCACAACUGCCCCCAUCAGUCCACGUCGCCAGAAACUCAACUUGCGAAUGAAAAGUUUCUCACUUGACUCUCCGGAGUCGACUGAGCACGUACAUCGUCGGCGCCAUGGAGGUUCCUCCCACGUCAGCCACGCCUCCUCUCACAGCCAAUCGCCCUCCAGUCCAGUUCACAACCGCCGUCUCCUCACCGCCCGGAAUAUGCGUAUGAACUCUGUAGAACUGCCUGACGAGAAUGAGAAAUCCCUGAGCUCGGCCAGCACUUCGCCGUGUCCCUCACCUGUUAGUAAAAAGCCUCAUCGCCUCCUGCCUACAAAUCUCUACGUUGUUCUGUACAAUUUCACCUCCAGACAUCCUGAUGAGCUCGACCUAAGAGCUGGAUACAAAGUGACGGUGACCGACACUUCCGACCCUGACUGGUGGCAAGGCAAGUGUCUAGGACGGACCGGCUACUUCCCCUCCAAAUACGUGACGCGACUAAACGGCGGAGAGAAGCCACUCCAGGUCACUCAUAACCUCCAAGUGAAUGACGGAGAAAACGGAAUCAAACUCCUCCGAGACCAGAUUGUGAUCCAGAUAGGCGAGGAGGUGGACGGCAUGGUGAUGAUACGUAACGGGGACAACCAACAAGGUGUCUGUCCCCUCAAAUAUCUGCAAGAGGUCUGAGACUCGGGAACUUGGCAAUUCUCGUGAAGACAGUGACUCUACAGUGUAGCAGAUAGCGAAACAAAACAAAAAAGAUACCGAAAAAAAGAUAAUAGACACAUACAUACAAAUACAUUCACAGCUUUUAAGAAAUUUGAAAUAUGCAUUAAAAAGAAAACCGGAAAUGACGAAAAAAAAUAUCUAUAUAAUGCACGGUGAGAAAAUAAUGACAAAAAAAAAAAGAAGAUACAAGAGGAGACCCUUUUUUUUCUUUAAGGACAAAAUAUAAGUGAAGGACUGAACAGAAAACGAGGGCAAGACUUUUAUAAGUGUGGUAGUGGCGGAAGGGGGGACGCAACACUUUCCCCCCCACUACACUAUCCCCCCUCCCCCCGCCCCCGCCGCCCUCCCUCACCCACCAACCCACCAACCAACCAACCAAACACCCUUCAAGACUCACAUUCAUUCCUGAGCAUUAGUUAUUGUUGUUGUUGCUGCUGUUGUUGUUGUUACUGUUUAGCUCAUUGCACUAAGGUCUUCACUGCACUCUGAAAAUGAAAAUUGUGACAAAAAAAAAGGAUAUUAACUACGAGAGAGAGAAACAGGACUGACUUUGGGUGGUUCUCGUGUACAUGUCUGUUUGAGAGAGAGAAAGACUACGCGUGUCGAGUGUGAAUGUGUGAAUGUAUGCCCAUAUGUCUGUCUGUCUGUCUGUCUUCGUACGUGCGUGUGCAACUAACACUCUCGAAAUUAUGACCUAAAGUAGAGAAGAAUGAGGAAAAAUAAUGAAAAAAAAGGAACAAGAUUUCACAAGUGUCAAAUGAUAUAAGAAAGGAAGCCGCGACCGCGUGGGAACACAAGCAAGACAAAACCAGAAGCACUUGAAGCCACCUCGAGUCAAAGAAGCCUUGAGGAAAACACGACCAGAGGGAAAGAGGGAAAGAAAGAAAAAGGAAACCAAAGACGGAAACCAAGAAGAUAGCAAGCAAGCCAGGCCACUCUUAAAUGGUACUCAUCUGGGGAAAAAAGAAUGAUAUAUAUUUAUACAUAUUAGUUACGAACUCAGAUCGCCGUCUCUUCGAUAAUGCCUUCCCCCAAGAACUAAGCCUUCCUCAGCGAACGCCUUUUCUCCUUUUUCAUAUGUCAUAUUUAGGCAUCACUUUCCCCUUCACUUAGCUUCAUUUCUAAUUUUCACACGCUUUUUGUCUCUGAGCACACUCCCAUCCUGCCUGUUUCUCUUUUGUUUCUCAAGUGGUUCCAUUGCAGCUUGAGUUCAUUCCUCUGGUGAGCGUGUGGCGAAUUUGAUUGAAUGACACGACGAGUUAUUAUUCCUUCUUUUUCACCUGCCUUUGGUAACAUUGUUGUUCCUCACCAACUCCAAAACACAAUCCAUCUGUAGUAAAAAUGUCGCAGAUCUUCUCCAGUGUCUCAUCCCACGGCAUGCCAGAAAGCACCAUAAAACUGCCAGUAAGGAUUCCUUAUCACAGAGACGCUGAGAAAUCAUCUGAGCUUGAAUCUGUAGUUUGGUUAACUUGUUUGACAUUAGCCUAUGUGGACAUUUAUAAAGACUUCUGGAAACUUCUGCGGCUGCCCACGAAAAUGAGCUUAUGUAAAGAUUUUGUAUGUUUCGGCAGUUUUUUCUACAUUUUAUAUAUAUCUGGAGAACAUUUAAACACGGGAUGAUAACCAAGUAAAUUCCUAUUGUUGUGUGGCGGAUCGUACAGCGAUACAGCGCAGCAGUGGUCCAUUCUGAGUACAAGACGAGGAAGGGGCGCUGCAAAAUAUAACUUCCAGUCAAGGAACCCCUAGAAUUAGAAGAAAAAUUAUAAAGGACAUUCAAUUGAUUUUUUGCCAAAAAAUUUUCAAAUUAAUUGUUUAAAAGAUGACUUUCCGAAGUAAAGUUUGGAAUUAUGGCAUUAAAACAGCCAUGGUACUCUAGCAGACGCUGCUCCACUGUCCCUGGCUGCGUGCGGGGCCGCCACAUCACUGCACCGCACCUUUUGUCCCACCCCAGUGCUGCCUCUCCCCUCAAACCUUUCCCUCUUCACCGUCACAAUCCGUAUCGAAUGUUCACUGAUUUGUUCUCGCCUUGCCUUGCUUGAUUUCGAACCGCGUAUCACAGGCCCAAGUUCUCUCCUUCCCCAUUUGGGUGAAUCCCGCUGCCCGCCGCCUUCCUUGCCGCUCCUCGAGUUUGUCUUUAUUUGUCCGCAUUGAUGGCGUCCUUCGCAGGUGUAAAUAUUCCUCGUUACGCAUAAGAUCUUGACAGAUUUUGUACACAUCCUUUGCAGAUGUAUUUUACCAAAGUUAUGCCAUAAACACACACGUACACAUUAUAUGUAGGUUAGUUAGAGGAAUAUAUAUAUAUCGUUCUGCCUUUGGUUCAAUACUAUUAGUGAAGGUCCCAAAACUGUCGAGAUCUUUCGCUGAUAUUUACGAAAAUUGAUUUAGAAUAGACUUUUGAGUGUUUAAUAGAUUUCACAGGGAAACCCUUUAAUUGCUUUGUUUUGUACCCUUUCCUUUGAACAGCAAUCUCCGGUGUACAGUGGGUGUGUAGGGAGGAGCAAGCCUUCCCCAGCGAUGGGAUGUUACUCCCGACCAAAUACUUGUUUCCUCUAUUUCAUAGAGUUGGUGAUACAUCGCUUUUCUUCCUCUUUUUUUUUUUUUUUUUUUUUUUCCUUUUUUUCAUACAAUAAGGAAGGAGUUGGUAGACGCCUUGCUCUCGCUGAACCACGGCGACAAGGAGGGAGCAGCGUGCUGCGCGCCACGCCCUCGUGCCCCUCACCGCUAGCUGGUCGCCUCGUCGCUCUUCAUCGUGAUCGCAUAUUUUGUUUUCUUUUACAAAAUUUUUAUAUUUAAACUCUCGGUACUUUUGACGAUCAUCGUGUACGUUUUAAGAUGUUUUAUUUUAUCUGAAAGAGUCGUGAGCUGCCUUCAGUGUAUAUAUAUAAAUAUAUACCUAUAUAUAUAGUUAGAGAGACAGAGAUAUAUAUAAAGCUAUAUUGAUUACAAAAUAGUAUAAUGAAUGUAUGAUGCCAUGUUUCGUGGAGUCCGCGAGUAGAGAAGGACCUCGGAGCCUGGACGUCGAUUAGGCCGCUCGGAGCCACACAGAAUAUAUUUAUAUUCCGCACUUAGGUGAGACAUGAGCAAAGGAAUGUAGGACAUAUCACUGCGAAAUCAAGGAGACUAAAGGAGGUGGCUGCAGUCACCCUGGCAUUGGUGUUUGGUAGGGCACCGUGGUCUCCCUCCCGACGCAGAUAAUAUGUAGCUGCUAGAUGUAAGCAAUAAUGGGCUACAGAACGGGUAGCUUUACACUGCACAUGAGCGCCAAGGUAUCGUGGUCGAGACCUUGACUCAUGUCCUGUGGCUGUUGAGGCUGUGCCUCGCGCGUUGUUUAAUGACAUGUACAUUUGGCCUCGUUUGAGACACCGCUAUUUUGAUAGUCUAAGACGGGAGUUUGAUCAAGAACAGAACGGAGAGUAUUUUUAUCAAUUACGUACGUACAUACUCCUGGUGUCAUAGGCGAGGUGGUGUGAAGACUGCGCAUGGCAGACGACAGGUGUAAAAACAUUGUGCCGCAUCCUUUCACUCCAUUCACUUGAGCUGCACUCGCUGUUUUGCUACGUGUAUAUAAUAAUGAGAGGAGAAAUUUACUUUUCAAGAAAGGUCAUGUAGACAAAAUUUUGAAGUUGUGACACUGCAACUUGAAGAGGAAAAUUUCAACCCGCACCGCCAUUAGUGUCGUAACGUUCACGUGUAGAAUUUGUUUGUUUGCUCACCUCACAGAAUACACCAUUGUAAAUCACCAUCAUGGAAUUAUUUAUUUUAUCACUCUACAGGAAUUAGUUAGAUGAAUUAUAAAAGUGAGUGAAAAGGAAUAGGUAUUUUCGUAUUUCUAGAUUAUUUUUAUCUCUUCUAUGCUAUGAUCUAGCAAAGGGAGCGAUCUCUCUGCCCCGGCAGUGAUCAGUCCCGCAAAGUAAUCUAAUCGAGGGCUUUGUCGGGCCCGCGUGAGUGCUGCCAUGCAGUCACUAACCUGGAUUGUGUUUGAUACACCACCCACCCUCUCCCUUCCUUUCACGUUUUUUUCCCUUUAGAGGUUAAGUAUUUUUUCCCAGUGUUGAUUUCUACCCUUGUUGUCCCGUCCUUUCACUCACUCUCCAUUUCCGUGCGCUGAUCCAUUCCCUGCACCAGUGUUGGCAGCGUCCCACGCUCACUGAGUUGUGUCCCUCACAAUGUGACGGGUGUCCGCCUUAGAAGGGCUCCCUCGCAAACAUUCAAGCGCACCCACACUCACGCACGCACACACACACACACACACACACACACACACACACACACACACACACACACACACACACACACACACACACACACACACACACACACACA